CCUACGGGAGGCAGCAGUGGGGAAUUUUGGACAAUGGGCGAAAGCCUGAUCCAGCAAUGCCGCGUGAGUGAAGAAGGCCUUCGGGUUGUAAAGCUCUUUUGUCAGGGAAGAAACGGCCUGUUCUAAUACAGUGGGCUAAUGACGGUACCUGAAGAAUAAGCACCGGCUAACUACGUGCCAGCAGCCGCGGUAAUACGUAGGGUGCAAGCGUUAAUCGGAAUUACUGGGCGUAAAGCGUGCGCAGGCGGUUUUGUAAGUCUGUCGUGAAAUCCCCGGGCUCAACCUGGGAAUGGCGAUGGAGACUGCAAGGCUAGAGUUUGGCAGAGGGGGGUAGAAUUCCACGUGUAGCAGUGAAAUGCGUAGAUAUGUGGAGGAACACCGAUGGCGAAGGCAGCCCCCUGGGUCAAGACUGACGCUCAUGCACGAAAGCGUGGGGAGCAAACAGGAUUAGAUACCCUGGUAGUCCACGCCCUAAACGAUGUCUACUAGUUGUCGGGUCUUAAUUGACUUGGUAACGCAGCUAACGCGUGAAGUGACCGCCUGGGGAUCGGUCGCAAGNUUAAAACGUCAAAGGAUUGACGGCUGNGAGNGCGACGACGACGACGAGGAGGAGG
rnacentral:rRNA from 1 species